rnacentral:tRNA from 1 species
ACUUGUGCGAUAAAGUAAUGUGUUCGGCUGCUAACUGAAAGGCUGGAGGUUCAAGUCCACCCAAAGGUA